CCUACGGGGGACUGCAGUGGGGAAUAUUGCACAAUGGGGGAAACCCUGAUGCAGCGACGCCGCGUGAGUGAAGAAGUAAUUCGGUAUGUAAAGCUCUAUCAGCAGGGAAGAAAAUGACGGUACCUGAGUAAGAAGCCCCGGCUAACUACGUGCCAGCAGCCGCGGUAAUACGGAGGGGGCAAGCGUUAUCCGGAUUUACUGGGUGUAAAGGGAGCGUAGAGGGCAGUGCAAGUCUGGAGUGAAAGGCGGGGGCUCAACCCCCGGACUGCUAUGGAAACUGUACGGCUGGAGUGCAGGAGAGGUAAGUGGAAUUCCUGGUGUAGCGGUGAAAUGCGUAGAUAUUAGGAGGAACACCAGUGGCGAAGGCGGCUUACUGGACUGUAACUGACGUUGAGGCUCGAAAGCGUGGGGAGCAAACAGGAUUAGAUACCCCGGUAGUC
rnacentral:rRNA from 1 species